GGGACCGACUUGGUUUCGACGUGGAUUGCGAAGCACGGAGGGCAUACCGAGGACCCGUUAUCUCGUAAAUCAAUGGGAAUUGUAAUAACUGCUAACGACGAACGUUACGCACUAGCAGCCUAAGGGCUGUGGCCCUCGUACCAAUUUGCCGAUAGGUUGGGGUAGAAAUACCAUUCGAGGUCAUUUAUAUCGGAUCGUGCCAUUAAAGGUCACUGUUAAUGGAGCUAGAACUAAAGGGAAUCGUUCCUGUAAAGCGUGUUAAUCCGCGUUGCAUGAAUUAAAUCAAAUGAUAUAACUAAGUAUGUAGAACUCUUUGUAGAGGAUUUGCGGACGCGGGUUCGAUUCCCGCCGGUUCCACCA
rnacentral:tmRNA from 1 species